GACCUUGAGUGAGGCCAGUGUGACUCAAUAUAUCAAAUAAAUGAGAAAGUGCUAAAAUGAGGCUGGGGAAGAAGCAGGACUCUGAUUGGGAAGCCCUACAAUUCUGCUGAGACAUUUUAUUUUAUUCCAAGGGCAGCACAAAUAUCGAUAGAUGAGGGUUUUUUUCCACCAGUGGGAUGGACAGACAAGUGAAUAGGGCAAACUGUGAAAGCUGGGGAAUUUCUGGGAGUUCAUGGGAUCCUGAAAAACAGAAGGUGCCAUCUUCAGACUUCUCCAGACCUCUGUCAUUGUGAGAGCACAGUUGGCCAAGUAUACUGGCAGUAUUGGCUGGAAAGUUUAUCCCAGGUUGAGAAACCAGCAAGUGUGGUUCGAGGGGCCGGAGUUCUUGUGGGGCCAUAACACUGGACGACAUCUGGCUUUUGUAUUAAUGAAAACAUUUGAGUUUUGGCCUCUUCAUCAAAGCCACUCACCAAAGAGAAUCCUUCCUUUCUGAAAAUUUCUGCCUGUCUGAAAAUUUCUCCAUAGUCAACUUUAUAGGCCUGGAAGGAAAUCUUCUGA